rnacentral:lncRNA from 1 species
GCUUCCUGGUGGGAUGUCCCCUUGCGGUGUUCAGCGGUGGCUUCUAAGGUGCAGCUUCUCUGUUAUGUCCUGACUGUGAACAGUACCCACCCUGUAUCCAGUUAUUAAUCUCACUCUGCCCUCCUCAAGCGGCCUUCUGCCUUCGCUUUACUCUGCUGUUUUAUCACCAGGCUCUCUUCAAGUCAAACUGUGUGAGGGUGGAAGACAUGGCUCUAUGGAAGCCAGCAUUAAGCCUCUCCUGGGAAAGUGGAGAUUCUUAGUUUUUAUCUUAAACUACGCCCUGCCUACAGCAGGGAGAGGGAGAGGAAGCAGGUGUGUGUGAACCAAUGCUACAGUGAAGGGGCCAACAGAGACAUGGGUCUUCAGAGGAGAGUAAAGAACACAUUGCUUAGCUUGGAUUCGAUCAACUGCUCGUACAGCACAUCGCUAAUCUUCAUUGUGUACCUCCAAGCGUUCCGUCAUGGCCUCUGACUGCUCUUCUGAUCCUGCUCUGAACUGCCAAGGAGGGUUUUGCUGUGUAGCUCAACUGGGUCUUGGACUUGAGGUCUUCUUGCCUCCAUUCCCAUGGCAUAGAAUUCCAGGCACGUCCACCAAGUUGAGUGAUUAUGCCUGCGGAAGUGUGGCUUCUCCAUGGUGUGAGUCUAUCCUGAGGAUGGAUUCUCAUUAAGCAAGGUUCCUUUGGUGAUGAACAGCAAUGUGGAAAAUGUAAGCUGAAUAAACUCUUUCCUCCCC